UAAAGUGUGAACUUUCCUCAACCCCUUACGUGUGCAUGAACUCAACAAAUGCCGUUGAUGCGUCUGUAUCGAUUCGCUCGAUCGAGUCAUUUGUUUCGUCCCGAAGAAGAUCCGAAUCGUUUGUGAAUCUCAUCACUGUUAGAAAUCCAAGAGAAGAGAUCCUCUUCCCUUAACAUCAUCAGAGGAAAAAUCUGCUUCUUAAUCAAUUAGUUUCAGCGUUUGUCUCUUCUAGGCGUGGUGAGACCGUGCACCAGUUUGUACCUGGCGUUUUACACAAGAUUUACGACUCAGUGGUCUGUGUGUUCUGGUGUCUGCUGAGUCACCAGAAAUCUGCCAAGACACUGACACUUGCGCCAGACGUUGAAGCAGGCGCAUAAGGGCUUUAAGGUUUCCAGAACCAAGCUGCAAUAUUGCAUGGACACUUGAGUAUUUGAACUUUUGCACUGAUGUCUUUUCUGGGUCAGAAAAUGGAUCCCUGAUUGCUCUUUAUAUGACAAGCUUCUCCGUUCCGCAAUCUCUCAUCACGAUCCACUGCAACAUCCUUUGACCUGGACUGACGCUAUGGUGGUCGCUUAUCACUCCCUCAGAAGCACCCUUUGUUCUGCCCCUGGGUCACCUGCUCACUUCAAGCCCUUCCACCUUUAUGCCUGUGGACACCGGGGCACGGCCUCUGGGGAGCGUGAGGGGGGAAAUGCAUCAUUGUGCGUUUUUAUCCAAAACAUUGUUGCUCAAGGCUUACCUGCGUGUCUGGGGGCUGUCUCCGCAUGUGGUUUGAUGGUUGCAAAAUUGACAGACCCAUUAAAUUAAUUAAUCAGUAAUUUAAUAGAUAAUUAAAUUAACAUGACUAUUUAUUCUGUUUUACUAACAAUCUCGAAGUUCGUGUCACAUCCUCUUUUGAUAAUGUAGGUCGCGCUCUCGCACGCCUCCUUAAUUCUCGGGAUGAUACUUGAUGACAUUGUCUGUCUAAAAAUCGUACUACUAGUAUCAGGUCUGGUCUCUCCUCCAGCCCUCUAGGGAUGGGGGAUGUACUCUUUGUUGGUGGUUCUUGUUCAAAACCCUCAGACGGUUCUUGUUUUAUAAUUUAAUAUCAUACCUCUGUGGUUAUUCUGUGUGUUCAAUCAAUAUCAGCCUGAUAUUCUGCAUGAGACAUACGCUCGCUCUUUCUCAUUUGAUUUUUGUCAUCUUGAUUGUGGACAAAUUCUCUAAUGGGUAGAACUUUUUUUCCUGUUCUCGAGAGAACGUGAAGGUAGUUCACUCAUACUCUGGCAAAAGAAAUAAUACCUAGUUAUAAUAAUAAUAAUAAUAAUAAUAAUGAUGCAUUUUAUUUAUAAGUGCCUUUCAAGGUACCUAAGGACACUGGACAGUAAAAUAAGAAAAACAAACAAUAAAAUAACAAUAAAAUAACAAUAAAAUAAUAAGAAAUCAAUAAUUAUUAUAGUUAUGGGGUUUCAAAUGCCAUAGACUCAGACAAGGGUACCCCUUUCACCUCAAAAGUCACACAAAACCUUUGUAAGUAUCUCUAAACUAAACUGGUGUUUUCACAUUCCUCAAUCCUCUGGUAUCGUAGAACGUACUAAUCGAACAUUGAAAGACAAAUUAAUUAAGGUCAUGCAGGACACAGGUUUGGUUCUGUACUCCAUAAUUCAUUCUGGCUGAAAUUUGUGUGACACCAAGAAAUUAUUUUUGGAAAUAAAGUUCUCCCCUGGAAGAAGGGAACUCCGGCUCCAGGUACCUCUGAUUUGAAAAUGCAUAUGGAUGAGUAUUCUGCAGCCCUUAUAGAUAAGUUGCAUAAAAUUUGUACCAAGGUCAAUAAUACAAUAUCUCCACCACACACCCCUUUCAUGUGGGAGACAAGUGCUGGUGUGAUUUUUUUAUUUAUUUAUUUUUUUAAAGUAAUGAUUUGGACAAUUGGGAAAACAAUAUAAUGGGCCUGCAGACAUAGUUGCCAUUACUUCUACUGCUGUUUUAACUGAUCUUUUUCCACAGUGGAUCCAUGUCACUCGAUUGAAGAAGGCUCCAUAACAAAGUUGUUACAAUGACAAGUUUGCUGCUAUUAACGCUUUUUGUGUCCCUAUCUAGUCUCCCUCUGGCCAGUGUUCUCUCUCUCUCUCUCUAUUUCUGAGCUCUACACAGAUUCGACUGUGAACAAAGAGGGGAAGAGAUCUUGCACCCCAUUUGGAACCAAUCAUCCUCACUACAACCAUGACAGUCCUCAUCACGGGUUUCGUGACUGCUUCAUCUUCGCUCGGGGCAGGGUUACCCGCCUGAGCCUUCUGGACCACUUCAUUGCUCGGAGCAGGAUUACCCGCUCGAGCUGGACUUCAUUGCUCGGAGCAGGGUUACCCGCUCGAGCUGGACUUCGAGACAACAUCUUCUGGACUAACUUCGCUAACUGGACUGCACAAGCGCACACCACACGAAUGUGUUAUGUCUUUCAUCUGAUGCCGUUUUCUACUAUUACACAUCUCUAUGCUCUGAAACUCUGUAUUCUUACAGGACUCUGUUCUCACUAUAGGUCGAUAUGUCUUCUAAUUUCAUUUUCCCUCACUGUUUUAGAACAAAUUACUCUGAAGGAAGUAGCGUGUAUUUGGGAAUUAAGAGGUUUUGAGUUUCUCUAAGCUCCGGUGAGGUGGGACGAGGGCUGAUCGGGCAUGCCCGCCCUCUGAGCACCAAUAUACGUCAAGAAGGGCAAAGAUUAACUCAAGAUUAAUUCUCGAUGUAAUCACAUAUGAUCAUGAGGUGAUAAUGAUCAAAUAUGAUCCUAGGAUUUGAUAAUAGUGAUACUAUUAUCAAAGGGGGGGGGAUUGUUAGGUUUAUAUAAGUAUUCUUCUUGACCAAGAAGGCAGUAAUUUAUUAAAAUGGUGACAAAAUUAAGGAUUAACUUAAGGUUCAGUUAAAAAUGACCUUCUGUCUCGGCUGGACAUUGUUUAGGAACAUUUUGUUUAUGAAAUGUGUAUUUUUCAUCAGAGAUGUGUCUGAACGACGCCAAGGUCUGUUUUGAUGUCAGAUCGACCCACACACACUUUAAUGUUGGAUGUAAUGGUAGCCUUAUUGCUGAACAAAGAGUUAAGACUUUAUAUUUUAGGGCUUUUUAAGAUCCUUUAUUAUUUUGGACUAUUGCAUAUACUAUGGCAGUGAUUUUAAACUGUUCCUGUGUAGCCUGACCUUUGGAGAAGAACACUUCUUUGUUAGACCAAACAUAGUCUUUGUUUAAAACAUUGUCGUAAAAACAUCUCGUGCGCUUUGACGUGCGAAAAUGGAAUUGCUGAAGUAUUAUUGAGAUGAGAUUAUUUUGCUUAUGAUUGAAGGUUUCAUUCACACACACAUACAUAUGGAAUUAAGAUGUGAUUUGCUGACCUAGCACGUAGACACAGAUAUCAAAAUGAUGUCACUCACUCACACCCUCCCAUAGAGACACACACACACUUGACAGACACAAUAGCCGUUUGGAGAGAUUAUGAUUUGUUAUAAAAGGUGUUUGUAAUCUUUCAUCUUUGGCGAGAAUACUGUGAAUAAACAGCAGUUAAACCGA